UUCUUGUGCUGGUCCCAAGUCCACAAACUCAGGAAUUCGCUACUUCCUGUAACCAUCUGACAUAGUCCCACUGUGAAAAGAAAAAGAAAAAAAGAAAAGAAAAAGCUGAACAACCAUCUUUCCCGGAAUUAUAUUGCUAUUGCAGAUGUUCAGUCUCUGCGUUUCACAGUAUUUUCCAUUACUGCUCUCGGCCACAUAGCCACUUAAUACUCCACCUUGGACUCUCACCAGCCUAGGAAUUGCCAAAAUACCAUGAGCAAGGAUCCUCUCCUGAGAUUUUCCAACCCAUCGCUGUUGAGGAGGACAGGCAUUUCUGUGAAGACACAAUUGCCGGGGUAAAUUUUAGUUAGCAUAGUCUAAGAAUGUGGACAAGAUCCUUGCAGCUAUCUAUCCUAUAAACCAUGGACCUUGACCAACCUGGCUAGGAGAGGCAGAUUAUGGGCCUGAGGACAUGGACUGCCUGAUUUCUGGUAAAUUUUUCUGGAAGACGUAUUUUUGGCUGAAGA